AGAACAGACAACCAGCCAAACGAAAACAAGACCAAGAUCCCGAUCAAAGGUUCAUUUUCCUGAGGAUGUCUCGGAUCAUUCUGAAAUUCUAAUCUCCAGAGAGAUUGAUAAUUCCAUUGAUGUUAAUCUAGGAUUUCUUCAAACAGAUCAUAGAUAUCAAAUAAGGUGUACAGUACGAGAUUCAUUAAAGGGAGAUGUCAUUGCCAAAGAGAAUUCUAGUACAAUUAUACAAUCAGUGGAAGCACAUGUAAGACCAGAUGGUAAGUAACCAAUUCGAAUGUCAUGUGACCUGCUCUGAACCAAUCAGAUUACAGAACGUCUGUGGAAGUGGUAUAAUAAGUAACAAUUGUAUGCAUCUCACCUAUAGUAUAGGGUGGUUACAAAUCUGAAUGAAGACCUCAGAGUCACAUCUUUGCAUAUCCAGCUGAAUAUAGCUGAGGUUAGGGUAUGCAGCUUUUCUCAGUUAUGAACAGUAUAUUUUUAUGCUAACUUUCAAAAAUUAAAACAUCUGAGAUUUACCAAUUAAUGAAGGCUUUAAUGCAUUUCUAGCCCAUGCAAUACUCCUAUCCAUCUGCAAUGUAUAGUCUUCAUCAGACAUCAUGCACAUAACCCUGAAAGAAAGGUCUAUAGUGCAGUGCCAGAGCUCCUUCGUCUUUUCACCCCUUCAAAGCUUAAAUGUUUCAAUUUCUCUGUCUGCUUGCAAAUUAGAGUUGAUUUUAAAAGACGCUUCUCGUGCAGACUAUGAAAUUGAGUUUUAUGCCUCCACAUACAUCAUCUCAAACGUGAGGAUCCGUUUGGAAUCACCAUGUUUUCUGGAAACCAGCUGAUGUUAAAGGGUCCCUUGAUGGUUAACCCAUGCUAGGUACCGAGCGCUCUCUCAAUAACCUCUUGUGAACAUGAGACAUUGCACAUGAAUGGGUUGCUUAGCAACAAGAAGACGAAAUGAUCUGGCCCUCGAUUGGUGAGCAGGUGUCAUUUUCAGCUGAAACAAGCACCCUUGUCUCAAUUGUGAAUAUCCAUUCAUCAUGCUUGAGACUACCCCAUCAUCCAUCAUUUUUUAUGAAAUGGAGAAUAUAUUAGCUUGACACAUUGUUGAGGCCAUGGGACAGGCUUGUCCUGGUAUGAUUGUACACAGAAAAAUUGGAAAUGACACUUUCCUGUGUAAUUUUCAGUGCGACCAAACAUGCAAGGAGCCUUAGUGACUCUAACUUUCCUCCUUUUAAUUUCUCCCAUCCCGGCUCUCUGUCUUCCGCUCAAGAUGUAUUUUCUCAUGCUUAAAAUGUUUGUGCUCCUGCCAAGAUGCAUGUACCUUCCCCCUUCAACUUCUAGGUACAAUACAUGAAUGUGAUUUAUGCUGUUCAGGUUGUCUGUGCAGCAUCUCCUUUGAAUGGGAGAUCAUGGUGGGGAAACCUUCUACUUACAAGGUGCUUGGGUUUCUUGGACACUGCUUUGCAUGGUAAUUAAAACUAUUUUUGUCAUUGUUCUGGGAUGUGAUUUUGUAUUCUUUUGGGCACAUGACCAUAUUAUAUUCAGUUUGACAGGCCCUUUGUCGUAAUAUUGCAGUGAUACCGUGGGUAUUAAAGGUAAAUGCUAGUUUUGGUAACGAUAUCAAAAUGAGUUCGUACAGAAUCCAAUGAAAUGACCACCAAAGUGUCUGUUUGUAUAAAUAAAACGCAUGUGCCAAAGGAUUCUGGAAGAAAUUGUGUAAUUGCUGAGAAAUCAGCAAAUAAGCACAGGAUUCGGGUAGAGCGUCGGGCCCGACGCUCUAAGCAAUAAUUAUACACAGUCCCACGUGCGCUUAUCUGUGUUGGGGAAGUUCAGUCUGAACAUUUUUCAGCGUAGAUUUCAAGAUUUCACAAAGUUCAGUUUAUGUAACUGUACCAGAUCUAGAUCCUCGAUGAUAUACUGACAAUUAAGCCUGGUUUUACAGACUUUCUCAUGAAAUCAGUGUUUACUGCAACUACUGGAAUUUCUCUUUAAAAGCAUUGA